rnacentral:misc_RNA from 1 species
AAGUCGUAACAAGGUAACCGUAGGUGAACCUGCGGUUGGAUCAUUAACAAAUCCAUUGCGGAGGCGCCUUUCAUAAGGUCCCCGUCACACACCCUUUGUGAACCAUUGAAAUGUAUGUUGGCGAUCGUUGGUCAAAGUGAUUCAAGACCCACUUCUGGGUUCCCGUGUUCCACGUCGGGACAAGACGCGGGGAUCUCAGCCUGGGACCUCUCUCUCCCUAACAGGGUGGGGGGAGGUUCUGGGAAGCCACGGUUCGUCAGACCGACAAAUUAAACUACCUGUCAUACUUCUUAAGCACUGAUAAAUUACAUGGGAAACCAAUGAGAAACAACUUUAGACAACGGAUCUCUUGGCUCUG